rnacentral:tRNA from 1 species
GGCUCCAUAGUGUAAUGGUUAACACGUCUGCUUUACACACAGAAAGUCCUAGAUUCACACCCCCAGGUGGAGCCA